rnacentral:lncRNA from 1 species
CUUACAUAUUUCCUCCUUCCCUUUUACAAGAUAACCCUAAGGGUUCUAAGGGUUGCAAAAGGAUGAAGGGUUGCAGAAGGAUGAAGGUCCGUCUCCUGCAAUUUUUUCAUGCUGAAUAGGGUCUAUGAUAUUCCUGCCUAACUAUUGGGGUCUCUUGUAUUUAGGGUAGAGAGGAGCUCAAUCAGAAAGCAUUAGUCCGUUAAGCAUCGGUUGUACCUCUGAGUUCCAGCAAAAGGUAAAACUCUGGCGCUCCAGCAGUUUCUCAGCUUCCUGUGUGGUUUCCUUGAUCUGUCCCCAUGGUACCUGUUAGUUCCUGCAAGUUCCUGCAAGUCUCUGUCUGUCCCUACCUAUCUCUCUUUCCUUAUCUCUAUUUCCUUAUCUCUACUUAUUUCUUAUUGUCCCUGCAGGCCUCUUCAGGUCCCUUCAGGUCUCUGUCCCUGAUAGUUCCUUUAAGUUUCUGCUAGUCUUUGCUAGUCUCUACUUUUGUAUCUCUUUAGGACACUGACCUUAUAUUGCUCUUAUAUUGCUAGUCUUUGCUAGUCUUUAUCCCUAUCUGUCCCUAUUUGUCCCUGUUCGGGCACCACUUGUGACUGACUGCCAUGGUUACUACUUGAGGCCAUCACUACAACAGUUACUACUGUUACUGCUUGAGACCAUCAUUAUGACUGAACAAAGGGAUAAACACAGAAAUGAUGACAAAAGAAACUAUUUAAAGGAAAGGCUAGCAUGGAGAAGAGGAAGAGAGCUCCCUGCUUCUAGUGAGCAAAGGCAGCCCCCCCUUGAGCUUCUACAGCCCUUCUUAUUAGGUAACAAGAGCAAGGAGGAGGAGAAAACCUAUGCCAACCAUGCUCAGAGGAGAUGUAAUGACAGAGAAAGCUUUAAAGAGAUGUUACAUUAUAAGGACUUGACCUCUGCUUUCUGGGACUGAAGACGGAGAAAUGAGGCGAUAAACCAAGUCCUAGAAACAAAUGAAGAGAACAGAGCUGAGAUAGAGUGGUGGUGAUAAUCUCAAGUGAUCUUCCUUCUGAUCUUCCAAGACUCAAUAAAUUUGGAAUGCAACGUUCAUGCUAAGCAAGCACCAAAGACCAGGGCUGCAGUUUGAAAGGGUGAGAUCCCUGAAUUGUCACCAGGAUAUUGCAGUCAGCAGGCCCAUAGUGUCACCUCUGUGCUCCCACAACACUGCUAAGUGCACAAUAGAGAAGAUGUAGAUAUUUAUUACAGGAGAAAUAGUGGUUCUCUACCAACCUAAGAAAGAAGGACAUAGUCUCAGUUCCUC